rnacentral:rRNA from 1 species
GACGAACGCUGGCGGCGUGCUUUACACAUGCAAGUCGAACGGGAUUUAGUAAACGGAAGCCUCGGUGGAAGAUUACUAAUGAGAGUGGCGAACGGGUGAGUAACGCGUGAGCAACCUGCCUAUGACAGUGGGAUAGCCUCGGGAAACCGGGAUUAAUACCGCAUAAAAUCGUAGAAACACAUGUUUCAACGGUCAAAGAUUUAUCGGUCAUAGAUGGGCUCGCGUCUGAUUAGCUAGUUGGUGAGAUAACAGCCCACCAAGGCGACGAUCAGUAGCCGGUCUGAGAGGAUGAACGGCCACAUUGGAACUGAGACACGGUCCAAACUCCUACGGGAGGCAGCAGUGGGGAAUAUUGCACAAUGGGGGAAACCCUGAUGCAGCGACGCCGCGUGAACGAAGAAGGUAUUCGUAUCGUAAAGUUCUGUCCUAUGGGAAGAUAAUGACAGUACCAUAGAAGAAAGCUCCGGCUAAAUACGUG